GGAGCGUCGUCCAAGCCUGCGAAGGUGAACCGCGAGGUUCGCUGGAGGUACGACGAGUGAGAAUGCUGACAUGAGUAGCGAUAAAGAGUGUGAGAAACACUCUCGCCGAAAGUCCAAGGGUUCCUGCGCAAGGCUAAUCCGCGCAGGGUGAGCCGGCCCCUAAGGCGAGGCCGAAAGGCGUAGUCGAUGGGAACUAGGUUAAUAUUCCUAGGCCUGGUGGAUGUGACGAAUGGUGGCAGCAGUGUGGGCUUAACGGAUUGUCCAUGCUGUGAAACUGUUCCAGGAAAUAACACCACCGUAUAGACCGUACCCCAAACCGACACAGGUGGACAGGUAGAGCAUACCAAGGCGCUUGAGAGAACUCUGUUGAAGGAACUCGGCAAAUUACUCCCGUAAGUUCGCGAGAAGGGAGCCUGGCAUUAGGCAACUGGUGUCCAGGGGCACAGACCAGGGGGUGGCGACUGUUUAUUAAAAACACAGGGCUCUGCGAAGUCG
rnacentral:rRNA from 1 species